UAUGGAUAUGAUUAGAGUUUAUUUCAUAUUUGUAGUGUUCAUCAUUUUUGUGCCUUCGUUUUUUAUAUAUUUAAUUUUCGCUUGGUUUUUAAUUUUGUUUUUCUUCACUGCUUAAUAGCUUAUAGAUCAAAGAAUUUUUUUUUUUGUUUUGUAGGAUGAUUUACUUCUAGGGAUAAUGGAGUGGUGUAUAUGCCUUGUUUCUUUUCAUUCAACGUAGCGGUUUCCGGUACUGCUUAUUUGAGACCAUCCACCGCCUUGAGGGAAAAGCUAAGGGAAGAUAAAGUAAGCACAAAGUUCAGCCUUCACCCAGAACCACUUCUCUGUUUUUCUCUUUGCAUUGGUUCUCUCUCUCAGAUCCAGUGGUGAAUGAAUUGGCGCUCUCAUGAUUGAAAUGAUAGCAGUUAAAAACUCAUGGCAUCAAACAUUUUUUUUUUAAAGAGGAACUAAAAGCUUCGAAAAGAGAGUUUAUUCAGGCAAAUGUGGUUGUAAAGAUGCAGAAGAGAGUGUUUUUACCUAAGAUCAUAGAGAGGUUUACAAAGAACGCUUCUCUGAACUCUGACAAUUCGACGAGAUGGUUCAUAGAUAACGCAGACGAAAAGCUUUGGGAAUUGAUACAAAAGUGUGUAGAAGGUAGACCAAACUACAAGAAAGCAUCUCAGGUUGUUGUCCGUUAUGAUUUCUCAAAGGACUUCAUGGAAAAAAUAGCCUUAGUGGGUUUAAAUGGAUUUUUCUGGUGCUCUAAGAACCCCUUCCUUAAUUCUCUCUGCUUUUGAAUAGAGUCAGCACAAAUCCUGCCAACAUGA